rnacentral:lncRNA from 1 species
AAAAAAGUGAAAUGAGAAUUGAAAACAUUUGUAGUUGUAUAUUACUAUAUGAUUUUAUCAAUCAUUGAGAAGUCAAGUCGAAUCCUCGGUUGAAAGAUUCGUUUGCCUCUCUAUUACCCCCGCAUGUAAAUCUCAGAUUCCGCUCUAUUUGCAAAUAAAUUCUAUGUAUUGCAUCUCUGCAAUCCCACAAUUCCUGUAUAGAUGUUCAUAAUUUAUUUUAACUUUACCUGUUGCAAUAGCCAAAAUCUGUUUAUUGUUUAAUUAUAUAUACUAUGAUUAGUCCACUAUCCUUGGCUGUGUUGUCCCUUUAUAUUAAAUUAUGGGGAUGGUUCUUCUUAGCUUAUUGCUUUAAAUCGUGCUCUUAACAGGGGAAGAACCCUACAGCUCGAAUUGAACACGAAGCCAGCACCUCCAAGAUCGGUGAAGAUCAGCUAUUUUAUUUCCAGCAGAGGGGAAUCGACUAUGAGAAAGCCAUGGCAGCUAUGAUAUCUGGCUUUUGUAAAGAUGUAUUUAAUGAGCUCCCUGAUGAGUUUGGUGCUGAAGUGAACCAACUCAUGAGCUUAAAGCUUGAAG